rnacentral:rRNA from 1 species
UUAAAUUGAAGAGUUUGAUCAUGGCUCAGAUUGAACGCUGGCGGCAGGCCUAACACAUGCAAGUCGAACGGUAACAGGAAGCAGCUUGCUGUUUUGCUGACGAGUGGCGGACGGGUGAGUAAUGUCUGGGAAACUGCCUGAUGGAGGGGGAUAACUACUGGAAA